GACCGUCGAGAACGCGACCGCCUUGUAGCCGAAGAUCGGCUUGCGCGAGAAGACGGGCAGGAUCUCGGAGAUCAUCCCGAAGACGGGCAGCACCAUGAUGUAGACCUCGGGGUGCCCGAAGAACCAGAACAUGUGCUGGUAGAGCAGGAGGCUCCCGCCCUGCGAGGGGAUGAAGAAGUGCGUCCCGGCGGUGCGGUCGAGGAGAAGCAGCGUCACGGCCGCCGAGAGCGCCGGCAGGGCGACGAGCAGGAGGACCGCGUACAUCUCGAUCGCCCAGACGAAGAGCGGCAUCCGCAUCCACGUCAUGCCGGCGGCCCGCAUGUGGUGGAUCGUGACGAUGAGGUUGAU
rnacentral:misc_RNA from 1 species